GCCUGCGUGGCACAGUUGGUAGAGCGUGAGAUUCUCGAGCUCAGGGUGGUGAAUUCGAGCUCCACCAUGGGUG
rnacentral:tRNA from 1 species